rnacentral:rRNA from 1 species
GCAGUCGAACGGCAGCGGGAAAGUAGCUUGCUACUUUUGCCGGCGAGUGGCGAACGGGUGAGUAAUGUAUCGGAACGUGCCCAGUAGCGGGGGAUAACUACGCGAAAGCGUGGCUAAUACCGCAUACGCCCUACGGGGGAAAGGGGGGGAUCUUAGGACCUCUCACUAUUGGAGCGGCCGAUAUCGGAUUAGCUAGUUGGUGGGGUAAAGGCCUACCAAGGCGACGAUCCGUAGCUGGUUUGAGAGGACGACCAGCCACACUGGGACUGAGACACGGCCCAGACUCCUACGGGAGGCAGCAGUGGGGAAUUUUGGACAAUGGGGGAAACCCUGAUCCAGCCAUCCCGCGUGUGCGAUGAAGGCCUUCGGGUUGUAAAGCACUUUUGUCAGGGAAGAAAAGGUUUCGGAUAAUACCCGGAACUGAUGACGGUACCUGAAGAAUAAGCACCGGCUAACUACGUGCCAGCAGCCGCGGUAAUACGUAGGGUGCAAGCGUUAAUCGGAAUUACUGGGCGUAAAGCGUGCGCAGGCGGUUCGGAAAGAAAGAUGUGAAAUCCCAGGGCUCAACCUUGGAACUGCAUUUUUAACUACCGGACUAGAGUAUGUCAGAGGGGGGUGGAAUUCCACGUGUAGCAGUGAAAUGCGUAGAUAUGUG